CAGUAGGAGACAAAGAAGCUUUCUCGGUAAAGAAGACAAAGAAGCUUCCUUCACGGCGCCUUGCCAAGGUCACUGCAGCUUUCGCGCGCGCCUCAUCCAGCCGAGGAGAAGCAUCAGAGAGCGUCACCAUCUUGUGCGUUCCAGAGAGCGUCACCGUCUUUCUCGUUCUUCAUCACCGUCAUAAGCCUCUCCCUUCUAUUGUUGUUAAUUUUGACAAAAUGAAAAACUUAAGUAUCAAUGUGAAAGAUUGUUGCUGGAGCUUCUGGGGUUGCUAUUUUGCCUGGAAUUGGGGUCUCAUUAAGGGAAGUAUUAAUUAAUUGUGUAUUGACUCCUAUUCAAGCGAUUUCAAUGGUAAUUGAAUAUUUGGAUGAGCUUAUUUUGCUUUCUUGAAAAGAAAAAGGAAAAAGAAAAAGAAAAAAAGAAAAAGAAAAAAGAAUCAUAUUUUUUAAUUAACAGAUAUGAUGAAAAGAAGCUUUGAUUAAAAAAAGAAAAAAGGAACUGAUUGUAGGAGUUCUUUAAGCUAUCUAAAGUCUAUAGCUUACUUUAGCAUAUUAGAAGAAUCAUGUUAGUUUAUUCAUUUAUUUUUUUAAUGAACUCUAUUCGGCAUCUUUGAUCCGAGAAGAGCAAGCAAAUACAACAUUAAAAUUUACAUUAUAUGAACAAGCUUUCAUCAAAUCAACCAUUUAUAUAUUGAAACAGUAUAUGGUUUUGAUUGGAAUUGAGUCUCACUGAUGUGAUAGUGGAAACUAUGUCUUAUAUGAACAAUAAAAGAUAGAAAAUAAAUUAAAUGAUAUAUUGAUCUGCAUAAAGCCAUAAACUCAAGAGUCUAUAGUUCAAAUACAAAUUCAUUCCCAAUUUCUCUGAAUUCUUGCAAAACAAUGAACUGCUUGUGUAUUAUUCCCUCUCAUUUUCCCAUCUAUGCUCAUCACUUCACCCCAGUUCUCAUUUGGCUAUGCUCUGAACUUAACAGAAUGAACAUUCAUUUUAUUUCAGAUUUUGGCUUAUUAACAAUGUGUAUUAGUCUUUACUUGUCUUCCCCUUAACAUAGUUUAUUAUGUUUUGAUGUUUCUUCAUGUGUCGUUUAGGAAAAGAAAAUUUAAAAGCUGACUAAUUUUAUGGUUCUCCAGGUCUUUUGCUGAUGGAUUUCCAAAUACUUUUAUAGAAAAUGCAGAAGAGCUCCGAGGUCAACACAUUGCUUUUCUGUGAGAAAGACUUUGAAUUCAGAACUGUGGCAUGCUUGUGCUGGCCCUCUUGUCUCUUUGCCUCAAGUGGGAAGUCUUGUUCAUUACUUUCCCCAGGAACAUAGUGAGCAGGUACAUCUCUUCUUGUGAUAAAAUUUUCAGAUAACUCUUUUUAAAAUUUACUUCGUUAAUACAUAAUUGCAUAUAGCUUUCCUUAUGAAUGUCUCUGUAUGGCCUCUUAUAUGCAUUCAGGAUUUGUCUUAGGUUCUUCUUUGGCAAGUUAGCAAUAACAUAACACAUAGCUAGGACCUGUAUUUUUUAGUGAUGCAGAAUUAUACAGUUCCCUGGUUUCUUUCUUUA